rnacentral:rRNA from 3 species
CCUGGCGGCCGUAGCGCGGUGGACCCACCUGACCCCAUGCCGAACUCAGAAGUGAAACGCCGUAGCGCCGAUGGUAGUGUGGGGUCUCCCCAUGCGAGAGUAGGGAACUGCCAGGC